rnacentral:rRNA from 1 species
GACGAACGCUGGCGGCGUGCUUAACACAUGCAAGUCGAACGGAAAGGCCCUGCUUUUGUGGGGUGCUCGAGUGGCGAACGGGUGAGUAACACGUGAGUAACCUGCCCUUGACUUUGGGAUAACUUCAGGAAACUGGGGCUAAUACCGGAUAGGAGCUCCUGCUGCAUGGUGGGGGUUGGAAGGUUUCGGCGGUUGGGGAUGGACUCGCGGCUUAUCAGCUUGUUGGUGGGGUAGUGGCUUACCAAGGCUUUGACGGGUAGCCGGCCUGAGAGGGUGACCGGCCACAUUGGGACUGAGAUACGGCCCAGACUCCUACGGGAGGCAGCAGUGGGGAAUAUUGCACAAUGGGCGGAAGCCUGAUGCAGCAACGCCGCGUGCGGAUGACGGCCUUCGGGUUGUAAACCGCUUUCGCCUGUGACGAAGCGUGAGUGACGGUAAUGGGUAAAGAAGCACCGGCUAACUACGUG